UAUAGUAGAUUACAUAAAUGAAUAAAUAAUAAACUGUUCUCUCGCUACGACCUGAUUUUUUUUUCAAACCAGACCGAGAAAAAAAAAAAAAAAAAAAAAAAAAAAAAACGUCGCUUU
rnacentral:ribozyme from 12 species